rnacentral:rRNA from 1 species
GAGGGAAACCGAGUCUUAAUUGGGCGUUAAGUUGCAGGGUAUAGACCCGAAACCCGGUGAUCUAGCCAUGGGCAGGUUGAAGGUUGGGUAACACUAACUGGAGGACCGAACCGACUAAUGUUGAAAAAUUAGCGGAUGACCUGUGGCUGGGGGUGAAAGGCCAAUCAAACCGGGAGAUAGCUGGUUCUCCCCGAAAGCUAUUUAGGUAGCGCCUCGUGAAUUCAUCUCCGGGGGUAGAGCACUGUUUCGGCUAGGGGGCCAUCCCGGCUUACCAACCCGAUGCAAACUGCGAAUACCGGAGAAUGUUAUCACGGGAGACACACGGCGGGUGCUAACGUCCGUCGUGAAGAGGGAAACAACCCAGACCGCCAGCUAAGGUCCCAAAGUCAUGGUUAAGUGGGAAACGAUGUGGGAAGGCCCAGACAGCCAGGAUGUUGGCUUAGAAGCAGCCAUCAUUUAAAGAAAGCGUAAUAGCUCACUGGUCGAGUCGGCCUGCGCGGAAGAUGUAACGGGGCUAAACCAUGCACCGAAGCUGCGGCAGCGACGCUUAUGCGUUGUUGGGUAGGGGAGCGUUCUGUAAGCCUGCGAAGGUGGCCUGUGAGGGUUGCUGGAGGUAUCAGAAGUGCGAAUGCUGACAUAAGUAACGAUAAAGCGGGUGAAAAGCCCGCUCGCCGGAAGACCAAGGGUUCCUGUCCAACGUUAAUCGGGGCAGGGUGAGUCGACCCCUAAGGCGAGGCCGAAAGGCGUAGUCGAUGGGAAACGGGUUAAUAUUCCCGUACUUGGUGUUACUGCGAAGGGGGGACGGAGAAGGCUAUGUUGGCCGGGCGACGGUUGUCCCGGUUUAAGCGUGUAGGUGUGUGUUCCAGGUAAAUCCGGUUCACUUUAACACUGAGGCGUGACGACGAGGCACUACGGUGCUGAAGCAACAAAUGCCCUGCUUCCAGGAAAAGCCUCUAAGCAUCAGGUAACAUCAAAUCGUACCCCAAACCGACACAGGUGGUCAGGUAGAGAAUACCAAGGCGCUUGAGAGAACUCGGGUGAAGGAACUAGGCAAAAUGGUGCCGUAACUUCGGGAGAAGGCACGCUGACACGUAGGUGAAGUGAUUUACUCAUGGAGCUGAAGUCAGUCGAAGAUACCAGCUGGCUGCAACUGUUUAUUAAAAACACAGCACUGUGCAAACACGAAAGUGGACGUAUACGGUGUGACGCCUGCCCGGUGCCGGAAGGUUAAUUGAUGGGGUCAGCGCAAGCGAAGCUCCUGAUCGAAGCCCCGGUAAACGGCGGCCGUAACUAUAACGGUCCUAAGGUAGCGAAAUUCCUUGUCGGGUAAGUUCCGACCUGCACGAAUGGCGUAAUGAUGGCCAGGCUGUCUCCACCCGAGACUCAGUGAAAUUGAACUCGCUGUGAAGAUGCAGUGUACCCGCGGCAAGACGGAAAGACCCCGUGAACCUUUACUAUAGCUUGACACUGAACAUUGAGCCUUGAUGUGUAGGAUAGGUGGGAGGCUUUGAAGUGUGGACGCCAGUCUGCAUGGAGCCGACCUUGAAAUACCACCCUUUAAUGUUUGAUGUUCUAACGUGGACCCGUUACCCGGGUUGCGGACAGUGUCUGGUGGGUAGUUUGACUGGGGCGGUCUCCUCCUAAAGAGUAACGGAGGAGCACGAAGGUUGGCUAAUCCUGGUCGGACAUCAGGAGGUUAGUGCAAUGGCAUAAGCCAGCUUGACUGCGAGCGUGACGGCGCGAGCAGGUGCGAAAGCAGGUCAUAGUGAUCCGGUGGUUCUGAAUGGAAGGGCCAUCGCUCAACGGAUAAAAGGUACUCCGGGGAUAACAGGCUGAUACCGCCCAAGAGUUCAUAUCGACGGCGGUGUUUGGCACCUCGAUGUCGGCUCAUCACAUCCUGGGGCUGAAGUAGGUCCCAAGGGUAUGGCUGUUCGCCAUUUAAAGUGGUACGCGAGCUGGGUUUAGAACGUCGUGAGACAGUUCGGUCCCUAUCUGCCGUGGGCGCUGGAGAACUGAGGGGGGCUGCUCCUAGUACGAGAGGACCGGAGUGGACGCAUCACUGGUGUUCGGGUUGUCAUGCCAAUGGCACUGCCCGGUAGCUAAAUGCGGAAGAGAUAAGUGCUGAAAGCAUCUAAGCACGAAACUUGCCCCGAG